rnacentral:tRNA from 1 species
GCUUCUGUAGCAUAGUGGUAGUGCGUUCGCUUCGUAAGCGAAAGGUCGUGAGUUCGAUCCUCACCAGGAGCU